AUGCUGAUGUUUUCUCUAUUCCCUUCUUCCUCCACUCCUCCGCUAGUUUGGUCCACCCAUUUGUACAGAAUGUGGAAGCUUCCCUCUGGCGUGAUUUUAAGAGAAGAAAACAGAACCGUCCCAAUCACAACAAGCUAAGUCAGGCCUGAUUACUGCCAGACCUGUGGACGAAAGAGAAGAAGAACGAGACUGGGUGAAAAUGGAGAAAUGGAGAAAAUGGAGAAUUCCAAGGCAAUAAAACACUGCUUACCAAAAAGAACA
rnacentral:lncRNA from 1 species